rnacentral:rRNA from 1 species
UUAUACCAUCAGGUGGAUGGCUCGGCUCAAGUGCCCUAUGAAGGAC